CUAUGCCUCAAUCGUGGAGCUGGGAGCAGUGUAACUGGCUGGCUGUUUGUGAUUCAGCAUUUUCUGCCACUGCCAGAAUAUGAAGGGGGAAAACUCUGCAGAAAAAGUUUCACAGAAUCACAGAACUGGAAGGGCUGGAAGGGACAUCUGGAGAUCAUCGAGUCCAACCCCCUGCCAAAGCAGGCUCCCUACAGCAGGCUGCACAGACCUGGUCUGCAUCUGCUUCGUUGCUUGAAGAUCAAUGUCCGCUCAUCUCCUUGUUCUUUCUGUUGCCUUUACUGACUGGACUCCAAAAUGAAACCACCAAGAUGAGUCUGAAAAGUUGAAUUG
ensembl:lncRNA